rnacentral:rRNA from 1 species
GAUGAACGCUGGCGGCGUGCCUAAUACAUGCAAGUCGAGCGAACAGACGCGGCGCUUGUUCCUCUGACGUUAGCGGCGGACGGGUGAGUAACACGUGGAUAACCUACCUAUCAGACUGGGAUAACUUCGGGAAACCGGCGCUAAUACCGGAUAAUAUCUUGAACCGUAUGGUUCAAUAGUGAAAGACGGUUUUGCUGUAACUUAUAGAUGGAUCCGCGCCGCAUUAGCUAGUUGGUAAGUUAACGGCUUACCAAGGCAACGAUGCGUAGCCGACCGGAGAGGGGGAUCGGCGACACUGGAACGUGGACACGGACCAGACGCCUGAGGGAGGCAGCAGUAGGGAAUCUGCCGCAGUGGGCGGAAGCAUGACGGAGCAACGCCGCGUGAGUGAUAAAGGUCUUCGGAUCGUAAAACUCUGUUAUGAGGGAAGAACAAAUGUGGAAGGAACUAUGCACGUCGUGACGGUACCGAAUCAGAAAGCCACGGCUAACUACGUG